rnacentral:rRNA from 1 species
UUGAACGCUGGCGGCAUGCCUUACACAUGCAGGUCGAACGGUAACGGGCCUUCGGGUGCCGACGAGUGGCGAACGGGUGAGUAAUACAUCGGAACGUGCCCGAUCGUGGGGGAUAACGAGGCGAAAGCUUUGCUAAUACCGCAUACGAUCUACGGAUGAAAGCAGGGGACCGCAAGGCCUUGCGCGGACGGAGCGGCCGAUGGCAGAUUAGGUAGUUGGUGGGAUAAAAGCUUACCAAGCCGACGAUCUGUAGCUGGUCUGAGAGGAUGAUCAGCCACACUGGGACUGAGACACGGCCCAGACUCCUACGGGAGGCAGCAGUGGGGAAUUUUGGACAAUGGGCGCAAGCCUGAUCCAGCCAUGCCGCGUGCAGGAUGAAGGCCUUCGGGUUGUAAACUGCUUUUGUACGGAACGAAAAGCCUUCUUUUAAUACAGGAGGGUCAUGACGGUACCGUAAGAAUAAGCACCGGCUAACUACGUG